GCCGCUGUGGCUCAGCUGGUAGAGCGGCGCUUUCGUAAAGCGUAGGUCACCGGUUCGAAUCCGGUCAGCGGCUCCA
rnacentral:tRNA from 1 species